rnacentral:rRNA from 1 species
CCUACGGGCGGCAGCAGUAGGGAAUAUUCCACAAUGAGCGAAAGCCUGAUGGAGCGACACAGCGUGCACGAUGAAGGUCUUCGGAUUGUAAAGUGCUGUUAUAAGGGAAGAACAUGUGCGAUAGGAAAUGAUUGCAGACUGACGGUACCUUGCCAGAAAGCGAUGGCUAACUAUGUGCCAGCAGCCGCGGUAAUACAUAGGUGGCAAGCGUUAUCCGGAUUUAUUGGGCGUAAAGCGUUCGUAGGCUGUUUUUUAAGUCUGGGGUGAAAUCCCGGGGCUAAACCCCGGAUCGCUUUGGAUACUGGCAGACUUGAGUUAGAUAGAGGUGAGCGGAAUUCCAUGUGAAGCGGUGAAAUGCGUAGAUAUAUGGAAGAACACCAAUGGCGAAGGCAGCUUACUGGGUCGAUACUGACGCUGAGGGACGAAAGCGUGGGGAGCAAACAGGAUUAGAUACCCCUGUAGUC